AGUUAUUUUGCAGGAGGCUUCUCAGGGAUGAAGGCAAGCUGGCCCCUAGCUGAUCAGCUGGUUGGUGAGGACUCUUCACGAAGUAAGGGACCAUUGUGAAGAUGGAAGAAUGCCCACAAAAUCCAGCUUGAAACCUGCUGGCUCUGAGGGUCCUGCUGGCUCAGCAGUGCUGUGUUUCUUCUGUCCUAACCAGAAAGUUACCCUUCUAUUUGCGGAGAGCUAUUGCCUAUCGGCCUGGACCAGCAGAUAACUCAGCACUCAUGAUCAGCUGUCAAGCUAUAACGGAGUGUUGAGGCAGUCCCUGAAACCACAGCGCCAUUUUGUAGGAACUAAGAAGCCAACCUCAAGGAAUCACUCGCCCCAAGAAGACUUUGUUCUGAUCUGAUGUGUUUCUAGCCUGGUGGAGCCUCAGCUAUCCAAAGGAAGAGCUGUUAAGAUGAUUGGAAUUUUGGUUUUUCCGAUUCACUCUUUUUUCUCUCCAGCCAUCUGCCUUAGACAGCAGGAGAAAAGGAAACUUAGCCUCAGAGGUGGGGUCCUUCGGAAGGACUGACAGUGGGCUAGCUCUCCUGCUGCUGGGAGCCUGAGUGCCUUUGGCUCCUUGUCCAGACCUCAGCUUUACCACGGAGGUUACCUGCUUACCAUCAACAUCGAAACUUGCCUCUUCCCCUGGGUGUAUUCUCCCUCUUUUGUGUACAGUUUGAUUCCUCCAAACUGCUCUCCCUGUGAAGAAAGCCGAUGGAAUUCAGGGAGCCUGGCCAGCCACCCAGGCCUUUAUAAAGGUCCUCGUACCACAGGAUGUAUGGGAGACCCAAUAAAGACUUUUGCAAAAUGCU
ensembl:lincRNA 1700008K24Rik RIKEN cDNA 1700008K24 gene